rnacentral:lncRNA from 1 species
UUAGUACUAAGCACGGAAAGUAGAUACCUGACCCAAAGCUUCUGGGUGGGAAGGUAUAAAUUCUUGUAGGGCAAGUUGAUCUAGCACUAAUUGGGUCGAUAAAUUAGCAUUUGGCAUAACAUGUCCACCCAAGAGGCUAUCAACAUUGGACAAAUCAAUUCUUUGUAAGACAAUAUGUUCGCGAUGUAUAUAAUCAUCAUCAUUCUCACUAGUGAUUGAUCUUCUUAUGUUAUUAUGGUAACCUUCAACUGCAUUGUCUCAUAUCAAUUACAAC